AUAUCAUUAAGCGGAGGAAAAGAAACUAACAAGGAUGCCCUCAGUAACGGCGAGUGAAGUGGGCAAAGCUCAAACUGAAAAUCGGUGCUCCAUGCGGGGCUUCGAAUUGUAGUCUAUAGACGCGCCAUCAGCGAUGAACCGGGUAUAAAUCUUUUGAAACAAGGUGUCAUAGAGGGUGAGAACCCCGUCUUUGACUCGGAGCUCAUUGCGUACGAUGCGUGUUCAAAGAGUCGAGUUGCUUGGGAUUGCAGCUCUAAGUGGGUGGUAAAUUUCAUCUAAAGCUAAAUAUUGACGAGAGACCGAUAGCGCACAAGUA
rnacentral:rRNA from 1 species